rnacentral:rRNA from 1 species
AGAGUUUGAUCAUGGCUCAGAACGAACGCUGGCGGCGUGGAUAAGACAUGCAAGUCGAACGGAUUUUCAUCUGUAGCAAUACAGGUGGGAGUCAGUGGCGCAAGGGUGCGUAACACGUGGGCAACCUGCCCUGGAGUCUGGGAUAGCCCGCCGAAAGGCGGAUUAAUACCGGAUGUGGCUACCUGCCGAUUGGUGGGGACGCUAAAGGUGGCGCAAGCUGCCGCUCCUGGAUGGGCCCGCGGCCUAUCAGCUCGUUGGUGAGGUAACGGCUCACCAAGGCGAUGACGGGUAGCUGGUCUGAGAGGACGACCAGCCACACUGGAACUGAGACACGGUCCAGACACCUACGGGUGGCAGCAGUCGAGAAUUUUUCGCAAUGGGGGAAACCCUGACGGAGCGACGCCGCGUGGAGGAUGAAGGUCUUCGGAUUGUAAACUCCUGUCAUUGGUGAACAAGGUGCUCCUAUUAACUGUAGGGGUAAUUGCUAGUAGCCGAAGAGGAAGGGACGGCUAACUCUGUGCCAGCAGCCGCGGUAAUACAGAGGUCCCGAGCGUUGUUCGGAUUCAUUGGGCGUAAAGGGUGCGUAGGCGGCUUGCUAAGUCUGAUGUGAAAUCCUGGGGCUCAACCCUGGAACUGCAUUGGAUACUGGUGAGCUAGAGUACUGGAGAGGAAACUGGAAUUUACGGUGUAGCAGUGAAAUGCGUAGAGAUCGUAAGGAAGACCAGUGGCGAAGGCGAGUUUCUGGACAGUUACUGACGCUGAGGCACGAAGGCUAGGGGAGCGAACGGGAUUAGAUACCCCAGUAGUCC